rnacentral:snRNA from 1 species
CGAGCGAACCGGGAAGAGCC